GAAUGAAUAGAAGAGCCUAGUUUUGAUUGCAUGAAAAGACAUUUUGCUAUACCAUAGCCUAAUAAAGUGAUCUAGGCACCUAGCCCGAGGUAUAUGAUAAUUUGUUACUUUUUAUCGAUAUAUGUACCAAUGCAGUGAACCAUUUAUAUAGUGUACGUCAGUCACGACGCGAUAUAUUCCUUAUGAGUUUAAAUUUAGUGGAAUU